rnacentral:lncRNA from 1 species
AUUUUGGUCAAUAACAAUUGUCUCCAAUGCAGAUUGACCUUGUGUAUUUGUCACCAUUGUCUUGCUUUGAUGUUGUUCUAUUUUUUGCAAUUUGUUCCUGCUCUUACUCAACAUUCCAGUGCUAGAAGCAGUAGGAUAUACAGGAUUUAAGGGAAUAGAACUCACCAUUGCAUCCAAGAGUCUUCUUUCCUCCUCUGAAAUAUCUGGGAUGGUUGUAACAAUUUGGUUCUAUCCAGAAUUUGUUGUUGUGACUUCUCGAUCACGUAGAUGAGUAGCAUCAGUAUUAGUAACAUUUGAAGUGUUGGGAAUAACUUGUUGCUGCUGCACAGUAGUUGUAGGUGUUCCAGCUACUGCAUUUUGAAUAGCUGGAGAUGAAGGAUUUUUGGGAAUGAAAGCAGGAGCAUUGGAGUUCAAAUUGCUCA